rnacentral:rRNA from 1 species
GACAGAGGGUGCAAACGUUGCUCGGAAUUACUGGGCGUAAAGGGCGUGUAGGCGGGAAGGCAAGUCGGGCGUGAAAUCCCCAAGCUCAACUUGGGAACUGCACUCGAAACUGCCUUUCUUGAGUGCCGGAGAGGAAAGCGGAAUUCCUGGUGUAGAGGUGAAAUUCGUAGAUAUCAGGAGGAACACCAGUGGCGAAGGCGGCUUUCUGGACGGUAACUGACGCUGAGACGCGAAAGCGUGGGGAGCAAACAGG